ACAAACUUGGUCAUUUAGAGGAAGUAAAAGUCGUAACAAGGUUUCCGUAGGUGAACCUGCGGAAGGAUCAUUAAUGAAAUUUGGGUCGGCUUUGUUAUCUGUGCUGGUGGAGACACAUGUGCACGUUAACAAGUCGCAUAUCCACACCCCUGUGCAUCUUAUGACUCCAAGUUACUUUUUCAUGUGCCCUAUGGGCCUGGUGACUUGAGAGUAACUUUUACACAAUCUUGAAUGUAAUAGAAUGUCUAUUGUGCAUAAUGUACAACAGAAACAACUUUCAACAACGGAUCUCUUGGCUCUCGCAUCGAUGAAGAACGCAGC
rnacentral:misc_RNA from 1 species